CAUGACCAACUGCAGUUUUUAUAAAGAGAUUUAGCACUCGAUACGCAGAAAUAUUUAGGAAUCUUUAACCACACUACUUUCCCCGGAUCACUCCAAAACCAGCCCGGAAUCUGUUCCGGGUAUUUCUCAAGAACAGCUCAUCUCACGUACAUAUCUAUCUACAUUUGUACCAAACUGCUGUUUGGUGCACAUCACUUUUGUGCAAAAACGAAAAAUUGACAAAAUUUUCGCGACCAAUAAAAUAAAAUGGACAUGGAGCAGCGAUUCUUAGGCCGGGAUGGUGAGUUUAAAACGCAUGCACAAUUGGUGCACUGCGACGCAGUGACUGCGUCCUCCCGUACAUCGAGGGUCAGGGGUUUCGAAACCCCACAAAAAAUUCAGGCGUUCCUAAUUUUUGGACGUGAACAAUUUAAAAAUCUUUAUGUAGUCUGGUCAAAACUGGGGAAAACGACUUCACGGCUAGUUAUUCUUAAUUCAAAGUAAAUAAAUACGAAAAAAUAACCAUUUUACCACCAAA